AGUGAGUAGGGUGUUGCGUAGGCAAAUCCGCGCAACGUGAGCCUGAGACACGAUGACGAGUGAAAAAUAGUAACGAAGUCCUUGAUCCUCCGCUGCCAAGAAAAGCUGCUAAGGAAUAUAGAGGUGCCCGUACCGCAAACCGACACAGGUAGACAGGCAGAGAAUACUAAGGCGCGCGAGAUAACUCUUGUUAAGGAACUCUGCAAAAUGAACCCGUAACUUCGGGAGAAGGGUUGCUCUCUAGCGUGAGUAUGAGCAAUACAGAGCGCAGGAGAGUCGCAGUGAAAAGGUCCAGGCGACUGUUUAGCAAAAACACAGGUCAUGCAAAAUCGCAAGAUGAAGUAUAAUGGCUGACGCCUGCCCGGUGCUGGAAGGUUAAGGGGAAGAGUGCAAGCUUUGAACCGAAGCCCCAGUAAACGGCGGCCGUAACAAUAACGGUCCUAAGGUAGCGAAAUUCCUUGUCGGGUAAGUUCCGACCCGCACGAAAGGCGAAACGAUCUGGACGCUGUCUCAACAAGGGACUCGGUGAAAUUGAAAUUCCGGUAAAGAUGCCGGAUACCUGCGAUAGGACAGAAAGACCCCAUGGAGCUUUACUGUAGCCUGAUAUUGGGUUUCGGAUAUUCAUGUACAGGAUAGGUGGGAGACUAAGAAGCAUGGACGCCAGUUUGUGCGGAGUCACUGGUGGGAUACCACCCUUAAAUGUUUGGAAUCCUAACAAGGAUUCUUGAAGCAGAUUAUUGGACAGUGUCAGGUGGGCAGUUUGACUGGGGCGGUCGCCUCCCAAAAGGUAACGGAGGCGCUCAAAGGUUCCCUCAGAACGGAUGGAAAUCGUUCGCAGAGUGCAAAGGCAGAAGGGAGCUUGACUGCGAGAGCCACAACUCGAGCAGAUAGGAAACUAGGGCUUAGUGAUCCGGCGGUCGCGAGUGGAAGUGCCGUCGCUCAACGGAUAAAAGCUACCCUGGGGAUAACAGGCUUAUCUCCCCCAAGAGUUCACAUCGACGGGGAGGUUUGGCACCUCGAUGUCGGCUCAUCGCAUCCUGGGGCUGAAGUAGGUCCCAAGGGUUGGGCUGUUCGCCCAUUAAAGCGGUACGCGAGCUGGGUUCAGAACGUCGUGAGACAGUUCGGUCCCUAUCCAUCGCGGGCGUAGGAAAUUUGAAGGGAGCUGACCCUAGUACGAGAGGACCGGGUUGGACAGACCGCUGGUGAACCAGUUGUUCUGCCAAGAGCAUAGCUGGGUAGCUAAGUCUGGAAAAGAUAAACGCUGAAAGCAUCUAAGCGUGAAGCGAACCUUAAGAUGAGAUUUCCCACAACGAAAGUUGAUAAGACACCAGAGAGAAUAACUGGUAGAUAGGUCAGGAGUGUAAGUGUGGUGACACAUUGAGCGGACUGAUACUAAUAAGUCGAAGACUUAGUC
rnacentral:rRNA from 1 species